rnacentral:rRNA from 1 species
UACGUAGGGUGCAAGCGUUAAUCGGAAUUACUGGGCGUAAAGCGCACGUAGGCGGAUCGUUAAGUCGGGGGUGAAAUCCUGGAGCUCAACUCCAGAACUGCCUUCGAUACUGGCGAUCUCGAGUCCGGAAGAGGUGAGUGGAACUCCUAGUGUAGAGGUGGAAUUCGUAGAUAUUAGGAAGAACACCAGUGGCGAAGGCGACUCACUGGUCCGGUACUGACGCUGAGGUGCGAAAGCGUGGGGAGCAAACAGG